UACAGACGGUGCGAGCGUUAUUCAUAGUUACUGGGCGUAAAGGGUAUGUAGGUAGAGCAGAAAAUUUUGCUAUAAAAUCUGGAGUCAUAACUUCAGAAACAAGCUUUUAGAUUACUGCUCUUUGAGUUAAUAACGGGUCGGAGGAACUUUUAGCGAAAAGGUAGAAUUUGCCAAUUCUAAAAGGAACACCAAAGGCAAAGGCAUCCCUCUAGUGUUAACUGACGCUGAGGUACGGAAGCGUAGGGAUCAAACAGG
rnacentral:rRNA from 1 species